rnacentral:rRNA from 1 species
GUCAAGACUCUCAACAAUGGAUAUCUUGGGUCUCGCAUCGAUGAAGAGCGCAGCGAAAUGUGAUAUAUGGUGUGAAUUGCAGAAUCCCGCGAGCCAUCGAGUCUUUGAACGCAAGUUGCGUCUGAGGCCAAUAGGCCAAGGGCACGUCUGCCUGGGCGUCAAGC